CUUAAGUUGGUUGCACAGUCAGUCACAGACAGACGUGAUAAUGUGAUAUUACACGUCAAAAAAGUUCAACAACGGAGAUCGGAUAACAAGUUAACUGUUUUUAAAUAAUUUCAGCUGAAGUUUUCAUGUACCUGGCCAACUAGGUGCUCGUGACAAUAUAAAUGAAAUGGCCUAAUUCAAUAAUGCAAGCUCACAACCAUUGUCUUAUGAAGAAAAAUCAUUUCUGUUGCAGUUGUAAAUCUUCAAGAUAUAUCUUCAAGAUAGCCUUCGCUAGAUCCAAUUCUUUGCUAUUUUACGGACAACAGCAAGAAAAUGCUGAUACUCAAGAUUUUAUGAUGACCACCACUUUGUUCUAAUUUAGGACAAGGUUAAUCCCUUUCCGCUGUUAUAGUUUUUUUAAAUCGACGAGAGAUUGCUGGAAUCAAAGACUGAUCAUUUGUUUAGACGUAGAUAAAUUACAAGUGCAUAUCUG